rnacentral:rRNA from 1 species
CCUACGGGAGGCAGCAGUGGGGAAUCUUGCACAAUGGGCGAAAGCCUGAUGCAGCAACGCCGCGUGGGGGACGAAUGCCUUCGGGUUGUAAACCCCUUUCAGCAGGAACGAAACUGACGGUACCUGCAGAAGAAGCCCCGGCCAACUACGUGCCAGCAGCCGCGGUAAU